AUUGAACGCUGGCGGCAUGCUUUACACAUGCAAGUCGAACGGUAACAGGCCUUCGGGUGCUGACGAGUGGCGAACGGGUGAGUAAUGCAUCGGAACGUACCCAGAGGUGGGGGAUAACGCAGCGAAAGCUGUGCUAAUACCGCAUGUGAUCUGAGGAUGAAAGCGGGGGACCGAGCAGCAAUGUUUGGCCUCGCGCCUUUGGAGCGGCCGAUGUCGGAUUAGCUAGUUGGUGGGGUAAAGGCCUACCAAGGCGACGAUCCGUAGCUGGUCUGAGAGGACGACCAGCCACACUGGGACUGAGACACGGCCCAGACUCCUACGGGAGGCAGCAGUGGGGAAUUUUGGACAAUGGGCGCAAGCCUGAUCCAGCAAUGCCGCGUGCGGAAGAAGGCCUUCGGGUUGUAAACCGCUUUUGGCAGGAACGAAACGGUGUCCGCUAAUACCGGGCGCUAAUGACGGUACCUGCAGAAUAAGCACCGGCUAACUACGUG
rnacentral:rRNA from 1 species